rnacentral:lncRNA from 1 species
AUGGGUAGGCUCCGGGUUGGCCUCGCGCGUCCGCGCUCCCAGUCUUCCCGCCAACGCGGGAGGCGAGCGCGGCCAUAUGCGCCGUGCUGCGGACCUCGAAGGCCCGGGCCGGCCGGGCCCUAGCAGCCGGCGAGGACACGCGGGGACCGGGCUGAGCUAGGCCGUGGCGCUCAUGGCCGCCUCAGGCCUAGAAUUUGUAGGCACUCAGCACCCCUCUUCUCUUCCAGGUUUCCAAAAUGCCUUUCCAGGCUAGAACCCAGGUUGUGAUCUAUUGGCCAGACACAACAUUUGGCGAACCAACGCGGGACUGAGAAACGGCAAAGGAUUUUUGGAAGAGGCACUGCUAGCAGGUUUGGAGCUCCAUGG